GCCUGGGUGGCUCAGCGGUUAAGGCGUCUGCCUUCGGCUCAGGGCGUGAUCCCAGUGUGGGAUCGAGCCCCACGUCAGGCU
rnacentral:tRNA from 1 species